UUUUUCUGCGCAAUAUGAGGCCUGGCUUCGCGGCCGGCUGAAUAUUUUUUUCACCCAUGUCUUUUGCGCACUUGUUGUUUCCUGGGCGGGUUCGCCCGCCACCAGGACCAAACCAUAAACCUUUUUUUUAUGCAGUUGCAAUCAGCGUCAGUAAAAACAAUGUAAUUAUUACAACUUUCAACAACGGAUCUCUUGGUUCUGGCAUCGAUGAAGAACGCAGCGAAAUGCGAUACGUAGUGUGAAUUGCAGAAUUCAGUGAAUCAUCGAAUCUUUGAACGCACAUUGCGCCCUUUGGUAUUCCAAAGGGCAUGCCUGUUCGAGCGUCAUUUGUACCUUCAAGCUUUGCUUGGUGUUGGGCGUUUUUUGUCUCCCUCUUUCUGGGAGACUCGCCUUAAAACGAUUGGCAGCCGGCCUACUGGUUUCGGAGCGCAGCACAUAUUUUGCGCUUUGUAUCAGGAGAAAAGGACGGUAAUCCAUCAAGACUCUACAUUUUUAACUUUUGACCUCGGAUCAGGUAGGGAUACCCGCUGAACUUAAGCAUAUCAAAAGCCCGAAGGAA
rnacentral:rRNA from 1 species